UGAAAGCGCGUUGGGGCUGGUAUCCUGGGACCUUCUCGUGGUAGCCCUGUUUAAACUGACCUUACCAGGAUAUUUGACCUGCUCUCAGAAAUUGAGUCUAUAGUUGCCCAAAUGUCACAAUGUUUUGGGGAGGAAGCAAAAUAAACUAUUGCAUCAAUGAAAUCUUUGCAUCAUUCUGUCAUAUAUUUCUGAAAGUUUGGACCACAUUGAAACCUGAAACUUUGCCCAGAAAGAAAGAAAUUCAAAACUUCAUUUCCUUUAAAUCAUUCACUGUUUUCACGAAGAGCAUGUGGAUUUUUAAAAAAAAAAUUCAAUAUGAUCGCUAAAGAGGUUUCUCCUAUUUUAAAACCGCCAAAAAAAUACUUCUUUGCAAUAUUGUGUGCAGUAAGGAAACUUCACGUGAUUCUAUGAGAGCUGAAUUUUAAAGUGAACCCAGUACUAAGAAUUAAUGGAAGGUAUUAGUGAAAAUUAAAGUAAAGAUAAUUUGUCUCUUUGUCUCUUAAAUUCAAGUUUCCUACGUUUUGGCCCUUUCUAUUCAAUGUGUUUUUCCAUAUGGACGGGGCGCGCGCAUGUGCAUGCAGCUGAGAAUGUAACAAAGAUAUGUGGCUCUUCAUGAAAACGAAAAUCUCAGUCGACCUUCUUUACGCCUUUCUUUGCAAUAGGUUUUGUACGUGUUCAAGGGGCCAAAACGUAUGUGGCUCUUCGUGAAAAUGCAAAAUGCAUUUAUCGAGAUCUCUGCCAAUAGCAUCAUUACUGUUAUUUGGAAAAAAAUGAUGUUUUGCUUACAGAAACAUGUCCAAAUGGUCAUGUACAAUUUUUUUUUUAAAAUAGUGAACAAAUCGAAAAUAAAAAAAAAUGGUUAUUUUUGACACGUGGCUCUUCACGAAACCAGUGACGUUUUUUCUCUCAUUCCAGGUCUUAACAUGCCUAAACACGACUUUCCAAAAAAACUUCCUAAAAAGAUUUUCAAAAAAAUGAAACAAAUUGUGAGGUAACAUUUUCAGAGACAUAACAUCUCGGACUCUUUUUCUCAGAGCAGGUCACGCGAAUUUGGUUGAUGUAUUUCUCCAAGAUGUGCAUUCAGACCAAAAGACUAAUCCUUCUUUUUCUUUGUCAUUUGUUGCAGAUAAUUGAUCUGGUCACCUCACGCUGGCGACACACUGACAGACAUCCAACAAACUGUCUCAGAAGAAUCCUACUGCAGCAACGCAACAUUUGAUCAAAGGCUCAUGGUCCAUGCAACGUAGCUGAGUGGCUUAAACACUUAACAAGAUGAUGAUGUUGCCAUGGUUACAGCAAGCAAGUCAAUUUAAAAACAAAAAAUCCGGUCAUGCUAUUUAAUACAUUUUAUGAAAGAAAAAUGUUUAAACUUGUAUGUAGUAAUUUCACUGACAUGUAUUUUGUUAUCAUCUCAAUUUCAUCUUUUAAUGCAUGUUCGCUUUAUUUUUGAUGUUUUUUUUUUUUUAAAUUGAAAUGUCCUAAAUAAUUAAAUUCUUAGAAGAAGUUACAAUAAUUUCCAAAAAAUAAAUACUUUUGUGACUUGUGGCAUCAUAAACCCUAAGUACAUUAUUCUAACUGUAUUUAGCGCAUGGUUUGCGCCAAUGACAAAAAAAUCCAGCUUUUCCAUAAAUUCUCAAAAGUAAGGCCUAACAAAUAUUUUAAUAGGUUUAUCUUGCAUCAAAAGUCAUUUUUGGGUCUUUCGAGAAAAAAGUUAAAUUUCGACACAAUUUGAUUCAAAAUGCAAGGUUUACCCUUGGCACUUUUUUUCAAAUUAUCGGCCCAAAAAUAAUGUUAUAACUUUCAUAAAUGAUCAAAAUGAGGGGUUAGAAACUAUUUCAAUAUGUUCAUCUUAUUGGGUCAUUUUGGGGUUGUUUAAUGAAAAAAUUAAUUUUUCAGACAAUUUAAAGUUAAAAUCUAUUUUAAAGUACAAAUAAAUGAGUUUGACAGCAUAUCUUGCGUUAAAUUGCAUUUAUUCUGUCAGUUGUUUUUUUAAUUCACAAUUUUAAAAACCGAGAUCCUUGCAGUAACUGUUAGUGCUUUUAAAUUGCAUUAAAUGUAAGUUUGGGUUGUUUGGGGAUAAGUUAAUCAAGGUUAGCCCCUUACCAUUUUAAUAUAAAUUGGAACCACAAAUUUUGGAUAUGCUUUGAUGUAGCUCGAGGAUCAUUCAAGUAAUCAAAUUUAGACGAGCAUCUUGUUCCCUGCCUUCAUUGGCAUAUACUGAACGAAACCCAGAAAUUUGCAUAAUGGUAUCUUUUUUUUAUGAGCAGCUUGUAUUUAUUUGCAUUUGAUGAAUAUGCAUUAAUGAAUAUUCAUGAUUGUUUUGCAAUGUUUUAACCUAAGGUUUAUAUAUAAGGUCCGAACACAAAUUUAUCAAGAAGCAGUUGGCUCAGUAGGACGAGCUCAGGAUCCGAACCGGGAUGUCCCCGGUUCAGGUCCUGGGCCCGUCCUGAGGAGCUUUUAGACUUUUUCAAAAUAUAUACUAUCUUUUCUGACAAAAUUGUGCAUGGGUAGGACUUGAACCGGGAACCCUUGGGUAUGUAGCCUUACACUCUUACCGCUACACCACUGGGUUUUUCUUAAAAAAGUAAGGAUUCUGGUAAUUAAAACCCUUAGGUUGUUCUGACUUAGUCUCCAGAGAGAGUUGGAGGCUGAGGGGUAGAAGCCUUGGGUCUGGGGUAGGAACUUGGGACUUAGGUUUGGGCUGAUCAACUCACUGGGGAAUUUACUAGCUGGAUGGUUCAUACUUAUACUUUAUACUUAUACUUCGGUUUGGGGUAGGAAUUUGGGACUUGGUUUUUUUACUUAUAUUUAUACUUAAACAUUGGUCAGUUCUAAGGGAAGUAUUAAACCUAGAUACAUAGCUUCGCUGGGAAUAAAAAAUUGUUUAUUUUUCAAGGCACAAGACGGACAUAAGAACAAGUGUAUAACAGUGUUAUUUUGCUUGCCAUAGCAUGGUUUUCGAAUUUAUUUCUUCAUUAGUUUUUUUUACAAAACAGCAGUAAAAAAAUAUACAUCAAUUUACAAACUUACAGUACACUACAUGGUAAUAUGACACUUUCUGUUAACACUUAAAAAAAGUUUUUCCCAUAAUAGAGCAAAUGUAAGACAGUUGCACUGGCCAAAAAUAUCUCAGAUUAUUUUUAUCACGGUAAAUGAUAAACAAAUUAAAACAUACACAUCCACCAACAUAUUUUUUAACAUUUGUAAUUUAUGUAAAAUACGCCCUGGUUUCCGGUUGCAACGCCAUAUUUUCUUGAAAUUUCCAAACAAAUGGCUUGAUCAAUUGCAAAUUGUCUUGCCAUUUUUUUAAUUUCAAAUUUUGAAAAAAAUUCCAUAUAUUAAUCUUCAAAAUAAGGGCCUAACAACCAUUGCAAUAAGUUUAUCUUGCA